CAGCCGCCGCGGUAAUACGAAGGGGGCUAGCGUUGCUCGGAAUGACUGGGCGUAAAGGGCGCGUAGGCGGCGGCCAAAGUCAGGCGUGAAAUUCCCGGGCUCAACCUGGGGGCUGCGUUUGAUACUUGGUUGCUUGAGUGGGGAAGAGGGUCGUGGAAUUCCCAGUGUAGAGGUGAAAUUCGUAGAUAUUCGGAGGAACACCAGUGGCGAAGGCGGCUCACUGGCUCGGUACUGACGCUGAGGUGCGAAAGCGUGGGGAGCAAACAGGAUUAGAGACCCCUGUAGUCCCUGUCUCUUAUAC
rnacentral:rRNA from 1 species